AGGCCGCGGGGCGUGGCCGCCAGGGGGCUGUGCGCCCUGGAUCGGUUAUGCGUAUAUUUUUUUAUAAAGCAUUUCUUUCGGUGGGAUAUUUCACUUGCAAAACAGAACCACUAAUUCCUUCCGGCUUGAUAAAAUCCCGUCGCUCUUGAGGAGCCGUCCGCGCUUUGGAGAUGGUCCAGGUCGAGGAGGAUCCGCAAAGGAGCCCCGCCAGACAGGAGUCUGUUCACUGCUGUAUUUCCAACACCCCCGCAUCCUGCCUGGAACAUAAUGAAGAUGUGAUGAAUGAAUGAAUGAACGAGUGAAUGACAAGGGAUGGCUGUGGGUGUCUGGCCCCAAAGCCCGAGAUCCCCACCACACGAUGCUGCCACCGAUUCCACCUUCCCCAGGGCCUCUCCUGCCUGUGCUGGGGCACAGCCACCUCUCUCUCCUCUGGACACACAGCCUUUGUGGUCUGUACCUUCCCUGGGCCAUGAUGUGUGGGCUGCUUUUCUCCUCUCGGACUUCUCUUCAUGAUUUAAAAACUGCAUCAUUCCACAUUCCCGUGGCAAGGCCCCAUUGCCCCAGCUGGAUGAUAAAUGUUCCCUGAGGGCAUGUAUUGUGUGAAGCAGCAGAAAAAGACAUCUGCUGAGGGUGGGCAUGAAGGGUGGAGAAGGGUUGCAUUAAGAGUGACAAAAGGGGCUGGCCCUGUGGCCAAGUGGUUAAGUUCGCGCGCUCCGCUGCAGGCGGCCCAGUGUUUCGUUGGUUCGAAUCCUGGGUGCAGACAUGGCACUGCUCAUCAAACCACGCUGAGGCAGCGUCCCACAUGCCACAACUAGAAGGACCCACAACGAAGAAUAUACAACUAUGUACCGGGGGGCUUUGGGGAGAAAAAGGGAAAAAUUAAAAUCUUUAAAAAAAAAAAAAAGAGAGUGACAAAAGUUGGAACAGGGACAUGGGCCACGUCUGGGGCCCUCGCUCUGAAUAUAGGUUCUGUGAAGCUAAGCUGUACCCAAGGGGUGGGGCAGGAUUGUCCGGAGGGCUGUAGGGGAAGUGAGAAGGAUAGUGUGAGAUCAGGGCCAGAUCAGCACAUCUGAGUCUGCAACAGUGUGUAGGAAGCUCAGCCAAGAGAGAGGGCCUGGUGUGCAAGGGCAUUGCCUAAUGGGUGACAGAGCAAAGGGCACCUAAAGAAGGAAUAAGCAAGAAGAAGGUCAGAGAUCAGCAAAAACAUGCCGAACAAUGAUUGGGAUCCCUUGCAGGUGCAAGUCAGACGAUCACAAGGAGGCUUCAGACCUGUGUUCCAGUUCCUGCUCCACCACUUAGAUCGGUCUUAUCUUGGACAUGUUUCUAAACUUUUCUGAGCCUCAUCUGUAAAAUGAGGGUAACGAUUGCCAGCUUCAUAGGGAUCGAGCGGGAGUCAGCAUAAAGCAUGUGGUACUCCUCAGUGACGUGAUGUCUGCAGUGGGGAAGGCUGAGCUGCACGGUGAUGAGCCACCAGAGCAGAGUGGGUGAACCAAGGGCCUUUUACCUCGGGCAGGGAUUCUAGCUCAUGGAGGAGUGUGCUUGGGCCGCCAGAACAAAUACCACAGACUAGUUGGCUUCAACAACAGAAAGUUAUUUUCUCAUAGUUCUCGAGGCUGGAAGUCUGAGAUCAAGGUGCCAGCAACUUUGAGUUCUGGAAAGAGCUCUCUUCCUGGCUUGCAGAUGGCCACCUUCUUGCUGUGUCCUCACUUGGCCUUUCCUCAGAGUGUGCGCGGGGAGAGAGAGAGCCAGAGCUGUUUGUUGUCUCAUCUUUCGAGCACGCUAAUCCUUUUGGAUCAGGGUCUCACCCUUAUGACCUCAUUUAAACUUAGUUACUUCCUUAGAGGCCCCGUCUCCAAAUACAGCCACACGAGGGAUUAGAGCUUCAACACAUGAAUUUGGGGGAGUGCCAAUGUUCAGUCCAUAACUGGAGGAUAGGAGUAGCAUAAGUGACAAGAAGUCCUCUGGGCACUUUAUGGAGAGCCCCAUCCUCCCAGCUUGUGAUCCAGGUGUGAGGAUGGAUGAGCUCGGCCUUGUUCAUUGUGAUUGGCCUUGCGGUGACAUUCCACUGUACACAUGGCAAAGAUCGGCCCUUCAGAAUUCAGGACAUUACCAUCACUACUGCUGCUUUUGUCCCAUCCUCAGGAAGUGGAGUGGGAUCUCUCAGAUACCAGAAACCUCAUUAUAAGCACAGGCCCAGCUGCCGUUCUUCGUGUCUGCUGACACAUUUCCAUCCAGAACAUUCAUCUGCUCCUGUCAUUUUCCCCAUGGUGGGUAAUGUCAUUCCUUCUCUUUGGAGUCAAAUAGUGUCCUAUUCCAUUUCCAAGUACUAUUUUCUAGGACAAACUCCCUAGAUGGGCAUUCUUGAUGUUCCCUCCGCAGUACAGUGAUUUGCCCUUUGUAUCUAUUUUUGAUACGGACAUUCUUCCUAUGUGUUUAUUGAGUGAAUUACAAAAUGAAUGAGUGAAUGAAUGAAUGAAUGAACGAGUCUCUUUCAUUUUGACUGCAGUUCCCUGAGAGGAGAAUUUAUUCUUUCUUUCCACAAAAACCUUCUAGUCAAAAUAGCACCCAAUAUGGUUAGUUCCUUGAGUGACAGGCUUCUCAUCAAAACAGCGAUUCAGUUAAUAUAAAAGUUUGGAAAUUUCAGGAAUAUUUUAGUUUUUAACUCGUUGGCCUUUUUACUCCAAGCUUAUGGAGUUCCCACCUCACUUAUAUAAAGCAAAAAAGAACGUCAAUCAUAGUUUUCCUCCCUUGAUGGUACCAGCACACCUACUGCAGUCUCAGGAUAACCACGUGGUCCCGAGCCGG
ensembl:lncRNA